rnacentral:rRNA from 1 species
AUUGAACGCUGGCGGCAGGCCUAACACAUGCAAGUCGAACGGUAACAGCAAGCAGCUUGCUGCUUUGCUGACGAGUGGCGGACGGGUGAGUAAUGUCUGAGCAACUGCCUGAUGGAGGGGGAUAACUACUGGAAACGGUAGCUAAUACCGCAUAACGUCGCCAGACCAAAGAGGGGGGCCUUGGGGCCUCUUGCCAUCGGAUAUGCCCAGAUGGGAUGAGCUGGUUGGUGGGGUAACGUCUCACCAAGGCGACGAUCGCUAGCUGGUCUGAGAGGAUGAGCAGCCACACUGGAACUGGGACACGGUCAAGAGUCCUAAGGGAGGCAGCAGUGGGGAAUAUUGGACAGUGGGCGCAAGUCUGAUGCAGCCGUGCCGCGUGUAUGAAGGAGGCCUUCGGGUUGUAAAGUCCUUUCAGCGGGGAGGAAGGGAGUAAAGUUAAUACCUUGGGUCAUUGACGGUAAUCGCAGAAGAAGCACCGGCUAACUCCGUG